rnacentral:rRNA from 1 species
GCUAGUAAUCGCGGAUCAGAAUGCCGCGGUGAAUACGUUCCCGGGUCUUGUACACACCGCCCGUCACACCAUGGGAGUCGAUAACGCCCGAAGUCAGUGACCCAACCGAAAGGAGGGAGCUGCCGAAGGCGGGAUGGAUAACUGGGGUGAAGUCGUAACAAGGUAUC